GAUGAACGCUGGCGGCGUGCUUAACACAUGCAAGUCGAACGGUGAAGCAGAGCUUGCUCUGUGGAUCAGUGGCGAACGGGUGAGUAACACGUGAGCAACCUGCCCCUGACUCUGGGAUAAGCGCUGGAAACGGCGUCUGAUACUGGAUAUGAGCUGCGACCGCAUGGUCAGCAGUUGGAAAGAUUUUUCGGUCUGGGAUGGGCUCACGGCCUAUCAGCUUGUUGGUGAGGUAAUGGCUCACCAAGGCGUCGACGGGUAGCCGGCCUGAGAGGGUGACCGGCCACACUGGGACUGAGACACGGCCCAGACUCCUACGGGAGGCAGCAGUGGGGAAUAUUGCACAAUGGGCGAAAGCCUGAUGCAGCAACGCCGCGUGAGGGAUGACGGCCUUCGGGUUGUAAACCUCUUUUAGCAGGGAAGAAGCGAAAGUGACGGUACCUGCAGAAAAAGCGCCGGCUAACUACGUG
rnacentral:rRNA from 1 species